rnacentral:rRNA from 1 species
GUAAAGCGUGCGCAGGCGGUUUUGUAAGACUGUCGUGAAAUCCCCGGGCUCAACCUGGGAAUGGCGAUGGUGACUGCAAGGCUAGAGUUUGGCAGAGGGGGGUAGAAUUCCACGUGUAGCAGUGAAAUGCGUAGAUAUGUGGAGGAACACCGAUGGCGAAGGCAGCCCCCUGGGUCAAAACUGACGCUCAUGCACGAAAGCGUGGGGAGCAAACAGGAUUAGUACCCAGU